UUGACCACGGCUUCCUGUAUCGCGAGUUAUUGACUUCUGGCACGCAGAUGGGAGCAAGAUAGUUUUGUAUUUUAAUGAUUCUGCCACCCUCAGUUGGUUUCAGUUCAGCUGAACAUUCUAUUGUUAUAGCAACCCCAGUAGAAAUAAAAUUGCCUUCUUUUCCAUUUGAUUGUUUAUGGUGUGGCAGUUAGCAAGCUAACAUUGUUACAUUCAACUUUUUAUCAGGCCAACUCCUGUCGACUUCAACCUUUAUUGGUGUGUUUACUUGCUGCAUAGCUGUACACCUACAAUACAAACAGUGAGGGCAGGGUCCUGUAACCUCAAUGCCCGACGGGAGGCGGAUGCCCCUGGCUCAGCCCAGGGCCUUUGUGUCAAGUUGAGUAUUUCUGCCUCUGUUAUUAAGGGGAUUAGUCUGAUGGCCCAGCUGUAGCUGAGCACAUGGUGAGUACAUAAUCAAUAAUGGAAGGCUGUACAAACCCAGAAGAACAGUCUCACACAG